GCUCUUUUCAGAUCUGAAGGCGGAGCGAAGCGGCAGCUGCUGUGCAGCAAGACACAAAUGGCGUUACACAAGCUGUCCAACACCAUCUUCUUUAUUGGCUUCAUAUCGCAGACGAUAUUUGUUUUAAAUAUUAUAAAAUUAUCGAACAUAGAAAAUGGUUAAAGCUUUCUUGCUCCGCUGCAGCGGCUCCGUUAUAGACUUGGAUCCUCGAUGCUGGUUGUUGGUUUAAACUCAGUAUGGGCGAGGCUGUAAAGUUUACAGAUUUAUCAUCGAAAAACGAUUCGGCCGACCGGUGGUAUUCAAAAAGAACGUCUGUAAGAUUCAGCCGCGCCACAGAGAAUCUUCCUUUUAGAAAGGUUAUCAACAAUGGCUGUCUGAGGAUGGUGUAGAGUCCCUGAGGAGUGGUUACAGUGAGGGGCUGGUAGCAGAGCCAGAUCGACUCAGCCUUUCCCUCUUCAAUCAGUCCACAUUAACCAGACUCCCCCAUGAUAAGACUGGGACCUGACGAUGGAGAUUACGCACGUGAAACAACAGGUGAUUCGAUCGGAUGUGAAUGGACCAAACCAGAUUUGACUGGAUCAGACCAGAUCUGACUGGACCAAACCAGCUGUGACUUGAUCAGACAAGAUCGCUCUCUCCCCCUUUUGUCUUUUCUAGGUGUCGGUGGCAACCGUGGGAGUGAUGAGCCACCAGUUUGAAGAGUGAAACUGAACACAACUGUUCAGAACCGAUCUUUUGUAGCAACCUUAGAGAAACCAGAAAUGGACAAUAUUAGAACAUUGUCCAGUUGCCCUGUUCUCAAAUUUAAAGGUCUGGGAAAAAAUGGGAUUUGAACCUUAUCUGCAGUCAAAACCUCUACCACAGAACCAUCAGUGUUUCAUUGUUUUUAUGUUUCCAAUAAUAAAGUGUCUGUCUCAGCUGG